rnacentral:misc_RNA from 1 species
GAUCCGAGAUCGCCCGAAUGCCAGUAGCCGGCGGUGAAACUCUCCGCCGUUGCACGCGGGUUAUUCCAGUAGCCCUUGAUGACCGAGCCGCUAUGAAUCCAGAUUUCGCCGAUCUCGCCGCGCGGCAGUUCGCGUCCGGUCGCGUCGACAACGAUAAUGUGCGCGCCGGGACAGGGCAGGCCGACGCUGUCGCUGUGGCUCGCGGUGAAUGCCGGCGGCAUGAUCGUCGACGGCGAUGACGUUUCGGU